CUGGACUCCAACUUAGUGCUCCACGAUCUGGCCAUCGAGUUGAACUGAUAAGCCUGCUGGUGGUACUUGAUCUGUUGUGCUGCUGCUGGGUUUGCCGGUGCAGAGCAGGAGCGAGGAUCCGAGCGCUCCGUUCCGAACUCCAGCGAGGAUCACUCCAGACCUCCAUCGAGCAGGCCUAGUUCACAUAUGUUUUCAGCGCCACCAUGAACUCCGGCUCUCCCGCAUAGCCACAGCCGCCACGGGACAAGCGCCGCCACAGGAGUUCACAUGCCCCCGCCGCGGUAGUUCACGUCGCUCUCCGCAGCGAGCAUGUGCAGUUCUACCUUCAGAUUCCAAUGUGCUCAGUUCUAACUGCAAGUAGAGCACCACAAGAGUUCAUUGUGCCUCCCUCAGUAGUCCGUUGUGCGUAGCCGGGAAGUCCACGCGCGCAUACACUGGCAGUCCUGUGCGUGCUUCCGGGGAGUAAAACUACAAUACACCGAUGUUUAGCCGCUGAUUCACAUGCGUGUCCUCUGAACCGUUGAUUCUUAGUUCUGCAAUUAAUACUUGUCUUAGCUUGUUUUGGGGUGAUGUAUUGCAAAUUGCAGGGAUAAAAAUAGGUUAAUGGCUUGCUGUGAUUUCUCCACUCUAGCUUAUAAAGGUGCACGACACCUACUCUGUGGCGCACAGUUGGUUGUGGUUCAGACAAAUAGAGUCGUGGAGUUCAGAAAGAGACCAGCAUGUGUGAAGUUUAGAGACAUGCCUUGACGGAGUUAUUCUGAAUUGUAAUCUGUAGUCAUUGAAUAUCUGGUAGCAUCUCAAGUUCAGGAAACUACAGCUCUUUACAGUUUUAUCUUGUAUAUGAUCAUUUCGUCUCCAAGAGGAAAUUCACUCCGCAUAUAGUUUAUUUUGGUUGUAAAAUUCUACCAAAGUGGAAGUUAAUAUAUUUUUGUGUUGUACACUUCUCUGAAA